GAUGAACGCUAGCGGCAGGCCUAACACAUGCAAGUCGAGGGGUAGAACACUUCGGUGUUUGAGACCGGCGCACGGGUGCGUAACGCGUAUACAAUCGGCCUUUUACAGAGGGAUAGCCCGAAGAAAUUUGGAUUAAUACCUCAUAGUAUUAUGAUGUGGCAUCACAUCAUGAUUAAAGAGUUAUCGGUAAAAGAUGAGUAUGCGUCCCAUUAGCUGGAUGGUAAGGUAACGGCUUACCAUGGCCACGAUGGGUAGGGGUCCGGAGAGGGAGAUCCCCCACACUGGUACUGAGACACGGACGAGACUCCUACUGGAGGCAGCAGUGAGGAAUAUUGGUCAAUGGUCGCAAGACUGAACCAGCCAUGCCGCGUGCAGGAAGACGGUCCUAUGGGUUGUAAACUGCUUUUGUACGGAAAAAAACACUUCUACGUGUAGCAGCUUGACGGUACCGUAAGAAUAAGGAUCGGCUAACUCCGUGCCAGCAGCCGCCGUAACAC
rnacentral:rRNA from 1 species